AAAGAAGCUUUCUAUCUGCUUUAAUAUCAGCAAGAUUGUCCUUGGGGUUGGUCUAAUACCAAGACCUUUUUCUGUAAGAAGCCUCAGGGGAUUCCUUAUGGCACCUUCUAAGGAGAUACUUCUGCAGUGUGGAUGAGCCUAGAUUUCCAUAGAGAAAAGAUUUAGGUACCAGACUUUUUGCUGUGGCUGCCAUAAUAGAGAAAAAUAUAGAAAUUCCAGCUCCAACCAUUCCAGACCUUUUCCUCUAUGUACUUUCUAAAAACACCUAAGGUGAAUUCUGAAAAAAGAAGAAGUAAAAAAGAAGAACUUCUUUUCACCACUUUAUUGCUUUUGUUUAAAAAUGAUUCUUCUGCAUCUGAAAAGGGCAGAGAGACUACUAUAAGAACAAUAAUUAACAUAGUUUUGCACAUGGAGAACAUCUUCAUUGAUGUUCUUGUUGAGAAGGCCUUAAUAGGCUUGUAACUGGAAAGCAGUAUCUGCCAAAGUGAAAGCUUAAUUCCAGAAGCACAACCUCAUGGAGGAUCCAAAGUACCUUCAGGAAUAACACAGUGAUUUCUUCCCCUGCUUUCAUGUACCUGAUUUCCUCUCAUUGCCAUACCAUACCAAUAUGGAAUUUUAAGACACUAAUUCCUGCCUAUUUCUAUUAUUAUUGCAUUUAAAUGUUGCCAUUUUCCAGCCCUUCCAGAGCUGCCUACACACCGCAUGUAUAUAAAUAAACAUAGAAUCAUAUGACAGAAUCAUAGAAUGGCUUCAGUUGGAACGGCCCCCCAAGAUCAUCAGUAUACACUUGCUUUCAGUCAUGUCUAUUGCUUUAAAACAGUCAAUACAGAACAUUUGAAGCUCGUCUUUCAAGUUUUCUGUCUUAUCCCUACAAUUGUUACAUCUUUGUUGCAGCUGGAUGAUGACUCCCAAAGCUCUGCUCAUAUAUCAUAUUUCGAUGGUUUCUCCUCUCGACACAUCGGAUCACAACCGUCAAGCCAGCUGCAUAUUUAUCUAAAGAGAUCAGAAGAAGCCAAGGUUUGAGGUGGACAACAGGUCGGCCAUGAGGCAGCAGUGUGCCCUGGUGGCCAAGAAGGCCAAUGGGAUCCUGGGCUGCCAUUAAGGGAGCAUGGCCAGCAGGUCAAAGGAGGUGACCCUCCCCCUCAACUCUGCCCUGGUCAGGCGUCACCUGGAGUACUGCAUCUAGUCCUGGGCUCCCUGAUACAAAAAAGACAGGGAUCUCCUGGAGAGAGUUCAGCAGAGGGUCACAAAGAUGAUAAAGGGCCUGGAGCAUCUCCCCCGUGAGGAAAUACUGGGUGACUUGGCUCUGUUAAGCCUUGAGAAAAGAAGACUGAGAGGAGAUCUUAUUAAUAUUUAUAAAUAUCUGUGUGGGAGACAAAGG
rnacentral:lncRNA from 1 species